rnacentral:rRNA from 1 species
AGCGAACGCUGGCGGCAGGCCUAACACAUGCAAGUCGAACGAACUCUUCGGAGUUAGUGGCGGACGGGUGAGUAACACGUGGGAACGUGCCUUUAGGUUCGGAAUAACUCAGGGAAACUUGUGCUAAUACCGAAUGUGCCCUUCGGGGGAAAGAUUUAUCGCCUUUAGAGCGGCCCGCGUCUGAUUAGCUAGUUGGUGAGGUAAAGGCUCACCAAGGCGACGAUCAGUAGCUGGUCUGAGAGGAUGAUCAGCCACAUUGGGACUGAGACACGGCCCAAACUCCUACGGGAGGCAGCAGUGGGGAAUCGUGCGCAAUGGGCGAAAGCCUGACGCAGCCAUGCCGCGUGAAUGAUGAAGGUCUUAGGAUUGUAAAAUUCUUUCACCGGGGACGAUAAUGACGGUACUCGGAGAAGAAGCCCCGGCUAACUUCGUG